GAUGAACGCUGGCGGCGUGCCUAAUACAUGCAAGUCGAGCGAACGGACGAGAAGCUUGCUCCUCUGAUGUUAGCGGCGGACGGGUGAGUAACACGUGGAUAACCUACCUAUAAGACUGGGAUAACUUCGGGAAACCGGAGCUAAUACCGGAUAAUAUUUUGAACCGCAUGGUUCAAUAGUGAAAGACGGUUUUGCUGUCACUUAUAGAUGGAUCCGCGCUGCAUUAGCUAGUUGGUAAGGUAACGGCUUACCAAGGCAACGAUGCAUAGCCGACCUGAGAGGGUGAUCGGCCACACUGGAACUGAGACACGGUCCAGACUCCUACGGGAGGCAGCAGUAGGGAAUCUUCCGCAAUGGGCGAAAGCCUGACGGAGCAACGCCGCGUGAGUGAUGAAGGUCUUCGGAUCGUAAAACUCUGUUAUUAGGGAAGAACAUAUGUGUAAGUAACUGUGCACAUCUUGACGGUACCUAAUCAGAAAGUCACGGCUAACUACGUG
rnacentral:rRNA from 1 species